rnacentral:rRNA from 1 species
GACGAACGCUGGCGGCGUGCUUAACACAUGCAAGUCGAACGGAAACGCCCUGCUUGCUGGGUGCUCGAGUGGCGAACGGGCGAGUAACACGUGGGUGAUCCGCCCCUUACUUUGUGAUAAGCCUUGGCAACUGGGUCUAAUACUGGAUAGGACCUUGCUGUUGCUGGUGUGGUGGAAAGAUUUGUUUCGGUAAGGGAUGAGCUCGCGGCCUAUGAGCGUGUUGGUGGGGUAAUGGCCUACCAAGGCGACGACGGGUAGCCGGCCUGAGAGGGUGGACGGCCAGAGUGGAACGGAGGCACGGUCCAGACUCAGACGGGAGGCAGCAGUCGGGAAGAUGGGACAAUGGGGGAAAGCUGGAAACAGCCAUACCGCGUGGGUGAAGAAGGCCUGGGGGGGGUAAAGCCCUUUUGGUGGGAAAGAACAGUAGGACGUUAAGAACCCGCUGUUGUGACGGUACCUAAAGAAGAAGCACCGGCUAACUACGUG